rnacentral:rRNA from 1 species
GGUAGCGGCUGAGAGGGNGNCCGGCCACACUGGGACUGAGANACGGCCCAGACUCCUACGGGAGGCAGCAGUGGGGAAUAUUGCRCAAUGGGCGNAAGCCUGANGCAGCRACGCCGCGUGNGGGAUGACGGCCUUCGGGUUGUAAACCUCUUUCAGNAGGGACGAAGCNNAAGUGACGGUACCUGCAGAANAAGCACCGGCUAACUACGUGCCAGCAGCCGCGGUAAUACGUAGGGUGCNAGCGUUGUCCGGAUUUAUUGGGCGUAAAGAGCUCGUAGGCGGUUUGUCNCGUCGGANGUGAAAUCCCNGAGCUUAACUCCGGGCCUGCNUUCGAUACGGGCUGACU